AUGGCCUGGUGGAAAUUGUGUGUGCCAAAAAGUAAGGGAGGAAUGAGUUUUAGAGAAAUCCACUGAUUUAAUUUAGCCCUCCUAGCUAAGCAUGUGUGGAGGCUAAUAGACAAUCCAGAUUCCUUGUUUUCUACUAUUCUUAAAGCAAAAUACUUCCCUGAUGGAGAUUUUCUUAAUGCCAAGUUAAAGAAAGGUUCUUGA
rnacentral:rRNA from 1 species